GACAGAGGGUGCAAACGUUGUUCGGAAUUACUGGGCGUAAAGCGCGCGUAGGCAGCAGCGUGUGUCGGGCGUGAAAUCCCACGGCUCAACCGUGGAAGUGCACUCGAAACUGCGCAGCUAGAGUCUCGGAGAGGAAGGCGGAAUGCUUGGUGUAGAGGUGAAAUUCGUAGAUAUCAAGCGGAACACCGGUGGCGAAGGCGGCCUUCUGGACGAUGACUGACGCUGAAGCGCGAAAGCUAGGGGAGCGAACGGG
rnacentral:rRNA from 1 species